rnacentral:rRNA from 1 species
UACGGAGGGGGCUAGCGUUGUUCGGAAUUACUGGGCGUAAAGCGUACGUAGGCGGCUUUGUAAGUUAGAGGUGAAAGCCCGGAGCUCAACUCCGGAAUUGCCUUUAAGACUGCAUCGCUAGAAUCAUGGAGAGGUGAGUGGAAUUCCGAGUGUAGAGGUGAAAUUCGUAGAUAUUCGGAAGAACACCAGUGGCGAAGGCGACUCACUGGACAUGUAUUGACGCUGAGGUGCGAAAAGCGUGGGGAGCAAACAGGG